AUGUCGCCGCCGACCUUGAGGUACAGGUCUGUCUCCAUGAGCUCGAGGAAGCCAUGGCCAAUGCAUCCAACCACGGAUGCCGCACCUUCGUGGCUGCCACCCUCCCUCACCGCCCUACACAACCUACUCCUCGGUCACCUCAUUGCCACCGGCGGCUUCAGUUUUGUGAACUCCAUUUGCAGAGGGAGCUUAAGUGCAAUUUCAUUUCAGGAAGAGUUGGCACAUAUGUCUCCUUUUAGUCUGAUACUUCAGACUUCAGUACACAUCAAUAUUUCUCCGUUUUUAAGCUAUGCUACAAAUGCUUAA
rnacentral:rRNA from 1 species